UAACUGAUUUCAUAUGAUCAACUGUAUAUUGUUAUCUAACUUUUCUUAGUUUCAUAGCAAUCAUGAAACUAAUUAUACUUAUAAGUCCCUUCUAAUUCUAUACUUAUCUGUUGAUCGCCAGGAAAACUAUCUACAAUUCCCAUGUUUUGGUUCCUUCAAUUUUGGGGCUUGUAUGUGUAAUUAUCAAAUCAAGGAUUGUUGGAUACAAAAAUGGAAGCCUAAGAGCAAGAUUCAAGGUGUGGGUUUGGAAGAAACAACCAAAGUGAAGGGAUUGAUAACCAAGGUUUUGGGUUAGUAAUGAGGAAUGGAGAUGUGUUUUAAGAUAGGGUCCUGAUGCUGUAGAAUUACAGAAUUUUUGGCAGCGGGUUUGGCAUGCUUGAGCCGCUCAAACAGAUGCAUAAAGGUGUAAAGAAUAGCUUGGAGCUGCUGGAAAUUCACAGAUAGAAGAUUUUAUUGCUUCUUUCAUGUUUCUGCUUGCAAUUUGAGAAAGGGGGA